rnacentral:lncRNA from 1 species
ACAUCCCCAGGCUUGUUUAUUUUUUAUUUUGAGGUAGGGUCUAGCUAAGUUACUUACGGAGUUGCCAUAUUGCUGAGGCUGGCUUUGAACUUGUUAUUCUCCUGCCUCAGCCUCCCAAGUUGCUGGGGUUGCAGGCCAUGUGUGCUAUGGCCCUAGCUGGGACCUUGGUGUUUUGUGUUUUUUUUUUUUGCUAGUAGAAAAAAAUUAUCCUAAUAACUAAUUUUAUCUAGUCAAUCGCACAUUUCUUGUCUCUCAUCACCUUUUUUUGUUGUUACUUUUUUGUUAUUAGUUGACACAUAAUGAUUGUAUGUCCCUGUAAAAACUUAACACAUUAACUAGGUCAGAGUAAGCCCUCCAAAAUUGGUUAUAUACUAAACUCAGAGCCUGGUAUUAAUUUUAUCUUCUCUUAUUAGCCAUAAGAAAUGCUGUAUUCUAUGGGUUUGUUUGUGGUUUUGUUUUGUUUUGUUUUGGUGUUGGGGAUUAAACCCAGGGCUUUGUGCAUGCAAGGCAAACACUCUGCCAACUGUUUUUGCUAUAUCCCCAGCCUAGAGAAAUGAUGUAUCCUGUUAAGUCAGUUUUCCAAACCAGUUCUCAUAAGCCUGUUUUUCCUAUGAUGCACAUAGGUAAUGUUCACAUUCUUCAUAAUCCUGACAGUAUACCCAGGGUUCUGUCUGUUGGAACCUAAAAACUCCUUUCUCUUCCAUAAGAAAGCUUUAUGAGAGCCUGGGAUGGUGGCCCAUGCCUAUAAUCCCAGCAGGUUGGGACUCUGAAGCAGGAGGAUCACAAGUUUGAGACCAGUCUCAGCAACUUAGCAAGACCCUGUCUGAAAAUAAAAAAUAAUGAACAAGAAGGACUGUGAAUGUAGCUCGGUGGUAAAGCACUCCUGGGUUCAAUCCCCAGUACCAAAAAAAAAAAAAGAAAGAAAGAAAGUUUAUGAGAAGGGUAAGUAAUAGUAUUCUUAUAGGAAACUUCAAUUCUUAAUUUACUAAAUAAAUUAUUCAUAAGUUUGAAUAAAAUAAAUUUAAUGUUAAUCAAUACAUAUUACUUGUGAUAUUCCUUACUUGUUUGUCAAGGCACACCUUAACUCUCCAAGCCACCAUGCAGUGGCACAUGCCUGCAAUCUCAACAAGGAGGAAAACUGCAAGUUCAAGGCUAGCCUCAGCAAUUUAGCAAUACCCUGUCUUAAAGUAACAAAUAAGAAGGACAGGGGAUGUAGCUCAGUGGUAGGGCAUCCCUGUUUUUAAUCUCCAGAAUAACAACAACAAAACCUCUCUAGUCUGAGAGUCUGCCAUUGUUACACCGGGAUAUAUCUUACAUGGGAAAGGGUGGAAGUUAUUCUCUUACUUCCAUCCUCACAAUGUUAAAAUAUACAUUAUACAUCUUUUAAUUCAUACCACAAGGAAUCUAUGAAUUCAUCUGAACCCUCCUGAAAGCAUACUAUAAUAAAUUACCCAGUAUUUGGUAGAGCACAUAUUCUAAUCUUGCAAAUUUAAUUGUACUUUAAGCUUUAGAUGCCUUCUAAAUUAGUUUAUCAGUAAAAUGUUAGAACUUAAGUAAUUUCCAAAGACUAUUAAAUAAGGUCCAAAUAUAACCAGAAGUUUAUUAAGUGAAAAUCUGGCCCUUUAGCCAGAUGCAGUGUUGCAUGACUGUAGUUCCAGUUACUCCAGAGACUGAGGCAGGAAGAUCACUUAAACUACAAGUUGGAGACCAGCCUAAGCAGCAUAAUGAAACUGUCCCAAAAACAAAAAAUCCUCUUUUAAAGUUUUUUGUUUUUUUGGCAGGGGGUAUGGAGAUUGAACUUAGGGGCACUUGACCACUGAGCCACAUCCCCAUUUCUAUUUUGUAUUUUCAUUCAGAGACAGGGUCUUUGAGAGAGAGAGAGAGAGAAUUUUUUAAUAUUUAUUUUUUAGUUUUCGGUGGACACAACAUCUUUAUUUUAUUUUUAUGUGGUGCUGAGGAUGGAACCCAGCGCCCCGUGCAUGCCAGGCGAGCUACCGCUUGAGCCACAUCCCCAGACCCCAGAGACAGGGUCUUAAUGAGUUACUUAGUGCCUUGCUUUUUGUUGAGGCUGGCUUUGAAGUCAUGAGCCUCCUGUCUCUGCCUUCCAAGCUGCUGGGAUUAUAGGGGUCUGCCAACACACAGGCUCUUAUAGAGGUUAUUUUGCAGUUAGAAAGGAUUCAUUCGCAGGGGUGGGUGGUUGUGGCGCAAUGGUAAAGCACUUGCUUAGUAUCUGUGAGGCCAUGGAUUUGAUGCCAGCACUGCAAAAAAAGGGGAUAAAAAUAGAUUUAAGCCAGAUAGGUGGCAC